GACGAACGCUGGCGGCGUGCUUAACACAUGCAAGUCGAACGGAAAGGCCUCUUUCGGGGGGUACUCGAGUGGCGAACGGGUGAGUAACACGUGAGUAACCUGCCCUUGACUUUGGGAUAACUUCAGGAAACUGGGGCUAAUACCGGAUAGGAGCUCCUGCUGCAUGGUGGGGGUUAGAAAGUUUCGGCGGUUGGGGAUGGACUCGCGGCUUAUCAGCUUGUUGGUGGGGUAGUGGCUUACCAAGGCUUUGACGGGUAGCCGGCCUGAGAGGGUGACCGGCCACAUUGGGACUGAGAUACGGCCCAGACUCCUACGGGAGGCAGCAGUGGGGAAUAUUGCACAAUGGGUGGAAGCCUGAUGCAGCAACGCCGUGUGCGGGAUGACGGCCUUCGGGUUGGAAACCGCUUUCGCUCAUGACGAAGCUUUGUGUGACGGUAGUGGGUAAAGAAGCACCGGCUAACUACGUG
rnacentral:rRNA from 1 species